GACGAACGCUGGCGGCGUGCUUAACACAUGCAAGUCGAACGGAAAGCGCUCUUCGGAGUGACUCGAGUGGCGAACGGGUGAGUAACACGUGGGUGAUCUGCCCUGCACUUUGGGAUAAGCCUGGGAAACUGGGUCUAAUACCGAAUACACCUUGCUGGUUGCAUGACUGGUGGGGGAAAGCUUUGUCGGUGUGGGAGUGGGCCCGCGGCCUAUCAGCUUGUUGGUGGGGUGAUGGCCUACCAAGGCGACGACGGGUAGCCGGCCUGAGAGGGUGUCCGGCCACACUGGGACUGAGAUACGGCCCAGACUCCUACGGGAGGCAGCAGUGGGGAAUAUUGCACAAUGGGCGCAAGACCUGAUGCAGCGACGCCGCGUGGGGGAGU
rnacentral:rRNA from 1 species